rnacentral:rRNA from 1 species
GACGAACGCUGGCGGCGUGCUUAACACAUGCAAGUCGAACGAAGUGGCGAACGGGUGAGUAAUACGUGGGUAACCUGCCCUCCUUUUUGGGGUACGCCUUGGAAAAGGGGUCUAAUACCCAGUAUAGGGGGAUGGGCUCGCGGCCGUUCAGCUGGUUGGUGGGGUGAGGGCCUACCAAGGUGGUGACGGGUAGACGGCCUGAGAGGGUGACCGGCAAUGUGGGGAGGGAGAUACGGCCCAGACACGUACGGGAGGCAGCAGUGGGGGAUAGUGCGAAAUGGGCGAGAGCCUGAUGCAGCGGCGCCGCGUGGGGGAUGAAGGCUUUCGGGUUGUAAACCUGUGUCGCUAGCGAACGGGUAGGUGGAGAAGAAGCGCCGGCUAACUACGUGCCAGCAGCCGCGGUAAUAC